AUGCAGUCGAGGGGUAGAGUUCUUCGGAGCUUGAGACCGGCGCACGGGUGCGUAACGCGUAUGCAAUCUACCUUUCACAGAGGGAUAGCCCAGAGAAAUUUGGAUUAAUACCUCAUAGUAUGCAGAGUUGGCAUCAACCCUGCAUUAAAGUCACAACGGUGAAAGAUGAGCAUGCGUCCCAUUAGCUAGUUGGUAAGGUAACGGCUUACCAAGGCUACGAUGGGUAGGGGUCCUGAGAGGGAGAUCCCCCACACUGGUACUGAGACACGGACCAGACUCCUACGGGAGGCAGCAGUGAGGAAUAUUGGACAAUGGGCGCAAGCCUGAUCCAGCCAUGCCGCGUGCAGGAUGACGGUCCUAUGGAUUGUAAACUGCUUUUGCACAGGAAGAAACAACUCUACGUGUAGAGUCUUGACGGUACUGUGAGAAUAAGGAUCGGCUAACUCCGUGCCAGCAGCCGCGGUAAUACGGAGGAUCCAAGCGUUAUCCGGAAUCAUUGGGUUUAAAGGGUCCGUAGGCGGUUUAGUAAGUCAGUGGUGAAAGCCCAUCGCUCAACGGUGGAACGGCCAUUGAUACUGCUAGACUUGAAUUAUUAGGAAGUAACUAGAAUAUGUAGUGUAGCGGUGAAAUGCUUAGAGAUUACAUGGAAUACCAAUUGCGAAGGCAGGUUACUACUAAUGGAUUGACGCUGAUGGACGAAAGCGUGGGUAGCGAACAGGAUUAGAUACCCUGGUAGUCCACGCCGUAAACGAUGGAUACUAGCUGUUGGGAGCGAUCUCAGUGGCUAAGCGAAAGUGAUAAGUAUCCCACCUGGGGAGUACGUUCGCAAGAAUGAAACUCAAAGGAAUUGACGGGGGCCCGCACAAGCGGUGGAGCAUGUGGUUUAAUUCGAUGAUACGCGAGGAACCUACCAAGGCUUAAAU
rnacentral:rRNA from 1 species